rnacentral:rRNA from 1 species
UACGGGGGGGGCAAGCGUUGUUCGGAAUUACUGGGCGUAAAGGGUUUGUAGGUGGCUUGCUAAGUCAGACGUGAAAUCCCUCAGCUUAACUGGGGAACUGCGUCUGAGACUGGUGAGCUUGAGUGCAGGAGAGGAACGCGGAAUUCCAGGUGUAGCGGUGAAAUGCGUAGAUAUCUGGAGGAACACCGGUGGCGAAGGCGGCGUUCUGGACUGCAACUGACACUCAGGGACGAAAGCUAGGGGAGCGAAUGGG